rnacentral:rRNA from 1 species
GGUGGAUGCCUUGGCUAGUAGAGGCGAUGAAAGACGUGCCAGACUGCGAUAAGUCUCGGGGAGCCGUCAAGGGGCUUUGAUCCGGGAAUUUCUGAAUGGGGCAACCCAAUACAUAGCGAUAUGUGUUACCAUUAAUGGGGCCAACGCGGGGAACUGAAACAUCUAAGUACCCGCAGGAAGAGAAAUCAAUAGAGAUUACGCUAGUAGCGGCGAGCGAACGCGUAAGAGGGCAAACCACUAGUUUACUAGUGGGGUUGUAGGACCGCAACAUAGACUAGGAUCUGAUAAUAGAACAAUCUGGAAAGGUUAGGCAUAGAGGGUGAUACUCCCGUAUAUGAAAUCACAUCCUUACUUAGCGGUAUCCUGAGUAGGACGGGACACGUGAAAUCCUGUCUGAAGCCGGGUCGACCACGAUCCAACCCUAAAUACUACUACUAGACCGAUAGCGUACAAGUACCGUGAGGGAAAGGUGAAAAGAACGGCGGUGAGCCGAGUGAAAUAGAACCUGAAACCGUUUGCUUACAAUCAUUCAGAGCACUAUGCUAUGCUCUUUAAAAUUAAUCCAGCUUGGCUUUUUAGCCCUUUUUUAUGAAACUGCGACUGCGGCAGCCAGAUCCGGCUAGCCUUGCCUUGUUUCAUAAAAAAUCAUCUAAAAAUCCUGCGCAUUUGAAAUUCUAAAUUUUAGAUCUAAUAAAAUUUUAUCAUAGAUAACACAAAUAGAAUUUUAUAGUCUAAAUUUAGAGAUAACGAUUAGCGAUUAGUUUUAAUGAGUAUAGCAGUGUGAUGGACUGCCUUUUGCAUAAUGAGCCUGCGAGUUGUGGUGUCUGGCGAGGUUAAGGAAACCCGGAGCCGUAGCGAAAGCGAGUCUUAAUAGGGCGAUUAGUCAGAUGCUGCAGACCCGAAACGAUGUGAUCUAUCCAUGAGCAGGUUGAAGCCGGUGUAAGAGCCGGUGGAGGACCCAACCGACGGCCGUUGAAAAGGCUCCGGAUGACUUGUGGAUAGGGGUGAAAGGCCAAUCAAACAUCGUGAUAGCUGGUUCUCUCCGAAAUAUAUUGAGGUAUAGCGUCGUGUAGUAGUUAUAAGGGGUAGAGCACUGAAUGGGCUAGGGCAUACACCAAUGUACCAAACCCUAUCAAACUCCGAAUACUUAUAGCGUAACCACGGCAGUCAGGCGGCGAGUGAUAAAAUCCGUCGUCAAGAGGGAAACAACCCGGACUAACAGCUAAGGUCCCCAAAUCUCAUUUAAGUGGAAAACGAUGUGAAGUUACUGAAACAACCAGGAGGUUGGCUUAGAAGCAGCCAUCCUUUAAAGAUAGCGUAAUAGCUCACUGGUCUAGUGAUUUUGCGCGGAAAAUAUAACGGGGCUAAAAUGAGUACCGAAGCUUUAGACUUGCACUUAAUCAUUUAUACUUGGCUUGGCUUUUGAGCGUCUUUAAAUGAGCUCGUAAAAAUAAAUGCUCGCGAACUAUAUGUUCGCUCCGCUUUAUUUUUACGUCGCAACAUUUAAAUCCAUCUCAAAACAAGCGAAGCGCUUUUUGCAGAAGCAAAAAUGUUUCUUUGAAAAAUCCUGCGCCAUCUUGCAUUCAAAUUUGAAUGCAACGUCUUGAUCUAAAUUUUAUAAAUUUCAAAAUUUCUUAGAAUUUUAAAAUUUAGCAACAAAAAGCAAAAAAGACAAAUAAAGCUUUUAAGAUAAAGGCGAAGUAUUUUUAUCUUUAGGCGAGGCGAAUUUUAGCGAAGCAAGGGAGUUAUCGUUUGGAUAAUGACCGAAGCUGAGCGAAAAUUCAACGAAGCAUAAAGCAAAAAGAUAAGCCUAAGAAAAGUAUAAAUCAUUAAGUGCAAGUGGUAGGAGAGCGUUCCAAUCAGCGUCGAAGCCGUACCGGUAAGGAGCGGUGGAGCGGUUGGAAGUGAGCAUGCAGGCAUGAGUAGCGAUAAAAUACGUGAGAAUCGUAUUCGCCGUAAACCCAAGGUUUCCUACGCGAUGCUCGUCAUCGUAGGGUUAGUCGGGUCCUAAGCAAAGUCCGAAAGGGGUAUGCGAUGGAAAAUCGGUUAAUAUUCCGAUACCGAUAUCAGUGUGCGACGGAAGGACGCUUAAAGUUAGUGGAGCUAGCGGAUGGAAGUGCUAGUCUAAGGAAGUAGGUUGAGUUAUAGGCAAAUCCGUAACUCUUUAUCCGAGAUCUGAAAGGCUUCUGACGCUCUUCGGAGUAGAUGAAGAAUCCAUGAUACUAUCGAGCCGAGAAAAGUUUCUAAGUUUAGCUGAUAUCGCCCGUACCGUAAACCGACACAGGUGGGUGGGAUGAGUAUUCUAAGGCGCGUGGAAGAACUCUCUUUAAGGAACUCUGCAAAAUAGCACCGUAUCUUCGGUAUAAGGUGUGCCUAGCUUCGUUAAGAAUUUACUUCGUAAGCGAAGAAGGUUACAACAAAGAGUCCCUCCCGACUGUUUACCAUAAACACAGCACUCUGCUAACUCGUAAGAGGAUGUAUAGGGUGUGACGCCUGCCCGGUGCUCGAAGGUUAAUUGAUGAUGUUAGCUUAUGCAAAGCAUCUGAUCGAAGCCCGAGUAAACGGCGGCCGUAACUAUAACGGUCCUAAGGUAGCGAAAUUCCUUGUCGGUUAAAUACCGACCUGCAUGAAUGGCGUAACGAGAUGGGAGCUGUCUCAAAGAGGGAUCCAGUGAAAUUGUAGUGGAGGUGAAAAUUCCUCCUACCCGCGGCAAGACGGAAAGACCCCGUGGACCUUUACUAUAGCUUGACACUGCUACUUGGAUAAAGAUGCGCAGGAUAGGUGGGAGGCUUCGAUUCGUAGAUCUCGGUUUACGAUGAGCCAUUGUUGAGAUACCACUCUUCUUUAUUCGGGUAGCUAACUAGCCUAAGUUAUCCUUAGGUAGGACAAUGUCUGGUGGGUAGUUUGACUGGGGCGGUCGCCUCCCAAAAUGUAACGGAGGCUUACAAAGGUUGGCUCAAAGCGGUUGGAAAUCGCUUGCAGAGUAUAAAGGCAAAAGCCAGCUUAACUGCGAGACAUACACGUCGAGCAGAGACGAAAGUCGGUCUUAGUGAUCCGGUGGUUCUGUGUGGAAGGGCCAUCGCUCAAAGGAUAAAAGGUACCCCGGGGAUAACAGGCUGAUCUCCCCCAAGAGCUCACAUCGACGGGGAGGUUUGGCACCUCGAUGUCGGCUCAUCGCAUCCUGGGGCUGGAGCAGGUCCCAAGGGGUGGGCUGUUCGCCCAUUAAAGCGGUACGCGAGCUGGGUUCAGAACGUCGUGAGACAGUUCGGUCCCUAUCUGCCGUGGGCGUAAGAAGAUUGAGGAGAGUUGACCCUAGUACGAGAGGACCGGGUUGAACCGACCACUGGUGUACCGGUUGUUCUGCCAAGAGCACCGCCGGGUAGCUAAGUCGGGAUGCGAUAAGAGCUGAAAGCAUCUAAGCUCGAAGCCGACUCCAAGAUGAAUCUUCUUUUAAGAGCUCUAGUAGACUACUAGUUUGAUAGGCCGGAUGUGUAAUGGAUGAAAGUCCUUUAGCUGACCGGUACUAAUAGCUCGUUUGCUUAUCUU